rnacentral:rRNA from 1 species
AGUGAACGCUGGCGGUAGGCCUAACACAUGCAAGUCGAACGGCAGCACAGUAAGAGCUUGCUCUUACGGGUGGCGGGUGGCGGACGGGUGAGGAAUACAUCGGAAUCUACUUUUUCGUGGGGGAUAACGUAGGGAAACUUACGCUAAUACCGCAUACGACCUACGGGUGAAAGCAGGGGAUCUUCGGACCUUGGGCGAUUGAAUGAGUCGAUGUCGGAUUAGCUAGUUGGCGGGGUAAAGGCCCACCAAGGCGACGAUCCGUAGCUGGUCUGAGAGGAUGAUCAGCCACACUGGAACUGAGACACGGUCCAGACUCCUACGGGAGGCAGCAGUGGGGAAUAUUGGACAAUGGGCGCAAGCCUGGUCCAGCCAUACCGCGUGGGUGAAGAAGGCCUUCGGGUUGUAAAGCCCUUUUGUUGGGAAAGAAAAGCAGCAGGUUAAUACCCCGCUGUUCCGACGGUACCCAAAGAAUAAGCACCGGCUAACUUCGUG